GACGAACGCUGGCGGCGUGCUUAACACAUGCAAGUCGAACGAUGAACUUGGAGCUUGCUCUGGGGGAUUAGUGGCGAACGGGUGAGUAACACGUGAGUAACCUGCCCUGGACUCUGGGAUAACUUCGAGAAAUCGGAGCUAAUACCGGAUAGGACCUUGCACCGCAUGGUGUGGGGUGGAAAGUUUUUCGGUUUGGGAUGGACUCGCGGACUAUCAGCUUGUUGGUGAGGUAAUGGCUCACCAAGGCGUCGACGGGUAGCCGGCCUGAGAGGGUGACCGGCCACACUGGGACUGAGACACGGCCCAGACUCCUACGGGAGGCAGCAGUGGGGAGUAUUGCACAAUGGGCGCAAGCCUGAUGCAGCAACGCCGCGUGCGGGAUGACGGCCUUCGGGUUGUAAACCGCUUUUAGUAGGGAAGAAGCCUUCGGGUGACGGUACCUGCAGAAAAAGGACCGGCUAACUACGUGCCAGCCGCCGCCGUAAUAC
rnacentral:rRNA from 1 species